rnacentral:lncRNA from 1 species
UUAAUGAAAUAAAUAUUGAUAUUAAUAACAAAAAAUAUAUUUGUCAACUUUUUUGCUCGCAUCAGAGUCAUUGCUGGUGAUGGAAAUAAUUUGGGGUGGGCAAAAAACUGAUCAAUUCGGUUUGGUUCCGAAUCAAACUGAACUGAUCGAAUUUUUUAAUAACUAUAAUCCCAACCAAACCCAACCAAAUGUACGAUUCUCUGUCCAAUUUUCGGAUCACUUUUUAAACCAUAAAUUUCUUUGUAUUUUUUUUUUUUGGUUUUUAGUUUUUUUUUUCCAUAUAAACGGUCAGUUUUUUACUAAUUUUUACAAACGAUUCAAUUUUGUGGCCGGCAACGGUUCUCUGCCCAUCGCUAGAAAUAAUCAUUUGCAUCCUCUAUUUCAAAAAGGGAUCUAAAUGCCAUGUAAUUCCCGGAGGCUAGGGAAUAUGGAGUCUGAUAGCAUUGGUGCUGGUUUUUUUUUUUUUUUUAAAUCUAAAAUUACACAUAUUAAUGAAUUAUCUAAUUUCAGUGUAGGCGUAUCUUUGGAGCUUUGUUGUUAAAAUUCGGAUAAAUUUGGUACUGUAAAUUUCAAAAUAAGAAAUUUUGAAAAAUUUGAUUUUCAAAAGGUUCUUCCACAAGCCUAAUAUUUAAUACAAAUCAGAAAAUUAUACUAAACAUAUUCUGAGUGCAGAUUGUCAAAACAUAAUUAUUCGACAACUUCAUAAAACCCCAAACAUACAUUUAUACUAAGUGGUAGGUUAUUACAAGAAAAAAAAAUAGAUCAGACGAUUUAAUAAAAUCAUGUUAUUUAUUUUUUAUUUUUCGUUCAUCAUUAUAAUGACGGUCGUAAUUGGUUAAUUAAUGAGAAAAAUUCAAAACCAAAUUAGGAGGGAAAACAGUAAGAACAAAUGAGUUGUAACACAAAAUAUGAUUAAUGAUUAAAAAAAAUGUCUUUGAGUGAAGUAGUAACCAUUCAAUUUUGGCGGGCUAACAUAACUACUAACCUUGUAUGAUUUUUUUGGAGGAUUCUCAUUACGACACGCGUCCCAAAUUUUGGGAAACAAAGGAUAUGUAGGGUUUUGGAAAUGUCAAGUCCCUUGAACCACACCCCCAAAAUAUAAAUUGGUUCUGGAUCAGAAAUAUUUGGAACCGACAUCACACGAACACAACAGAGAGAGAGCACGUGAAUCGCGGUGAGUGAGAUACAUAGAAUCACGUGCUCGCCAAAGUAAAAGCACAUGACAUGUACAACUAGGCUCAACAUGGAGACGUGGUGGGCCAUUGAAAUUCGGGAUUAGGCCAAACCUAAUUCCAUUUCCAGAUCCUCGAAUGGAUGUCCAUAAGCAGACAAGACACGAGGCAUAACAAGAACCCAUCUCAUUCUUUUCUCUUUUCCUUGUAACAAAAUCUAAUUUUAAGUGUUUUGAGUGUCUUGCCGUGCUCAUACGCUUACUUAGGCCGUUUGGGAUUCUUUUUUGGAAGUUUAAAAGUAAUUUUAAAAAUUUAAAAGUUAAUUUUAGUAUUUAGUAAAAAAAAAUUAAAAUCAUUUUUGUUAAAAU